rnacentral:piRNA from 1 species
UGGCAGAGGUGAACUGUUAUCCAUUUACAA